GGGAGCUUGGCUCAGUUGGAAGAGCGCAGGUCUCAUAUUCGUCGAAAUAUGAUCCAGUUUAACAUUGGAGUCAUCCUGAGGUCGUGAGUUCGAGCCUCACAGUUCCCA